rnacentral:rRNA from 1 species
GUGAGAAUGCUGGCAUGAGUAACGAGAGCGGCGCGAGAAACGCCGCCGCCGUGAGCCUAAGGGUUCCUGGGCGAGGCUAAUCCCCCCAGGGUCAGUCGGGAGCUAAGGCGAGGCCGGAAGGCGUAGCCGAUGCACAGCAGGCAGACAUUCCUGCACCUCCCGCAGACGUUCGAGCGAUGGGGUGACGGAGAAGGGUAGCUCGACGGGGUUCUGGACGUCCCCGCGAUGUCGCGUAGCCUGAGGGGUAGUAAAAUGCGCCCCUCGCAUAAGGGUGAGGCGACGGACGAAGCGCUUUAGCGAAGCGAGUGAGCCCAUGCUUCCUAGAAAAGCCUCUAGCAAGUCUGCGGGUGCCCGUACCGCAAACCGACACAGGUGGGUGGGUAGAACAUACCAAGGCGAUCGGGUCAACCAUGGUUAAGGAACUCGGCAAAAUGGCCCCGUAACUUCGGGAGAAGGGGCGGUGGCGCGGGUGAUAGAGCGUGCCUCUUGAGCCUGAGCCACUCACAGUAAAGAGGCCCAAACGACUGUUUACCAAAAACACAGGACUCUGCUGAAGUCGUAAGACGACGUAUAGGGUCUGACGCCUGCCCGGUGCCGGAAGGUCACGUGGAGUUGUCAGUCGCAAGACGAAGCAGCGAAACCAAGCCCCGGUAAACGGCGGCCGUAACUAUAACGGUCCUAAGGUAGCGAAAUUCCUUGUCGGGUAAGUUCCGACCUGCACGAAAGGCGUAACGAUUUGGGCGCUGUCUCAACCAUGGACCCGGUGAAAUUGCACUAGUCGUGAAGAUGCGACUUACCCGCGGAAGGACGGAAAGACCCCGUGAACCUUUACUGCAGCUAGACAUUGGCUGCCGGUCCGACGUGUAGAGGAUAGGUGGGAGACUGAGAACCACUGGCGCCAGCCGGUGGGGAGUCGCCCUUGGAAUACCACCCUCGUCGCUCUGGCAUCCUAACCUGCGACCGUUAUCCGGCGCAGGGACCGUGUCUGGUGGGUAGUUUGACUGGGGCGGUCGCCUCCUAAAGAGUAACGGAGGCGCGCAAAGGUCUGCUCGGGACGGUCGGCAACCGUCCUUUUGAGUGCAAGAGCAUAAGCAGGCUUCACUGCGAGACCAACAAGUCGAGCAGGUGGGAAACCAGGCUCUAGUGAUCCGGCGGCCCAGAGUGGAAUGGCCGUCGCUCAACGGAUAAAAGGUACUCCGGGGAUAACAGGCUGAUCUUCCCCAAGAGUCCACAUCGACGGCAAGGUUUGGCACCUCGAUGUCGGCUCAUCGCAUCCUGGGGCUGGAGCAGGUCCCAAGGGUUGGGCUGUUCGCCCAUUAAAGCGGUACGCGAGCUGGGUU